rnacentral:ncRNA from 1 species
GGCCUGUGGCGGCCAAGCGUUCGUAGCGACGUCGCUUUUGAGUCUUCGAUGUUGGCUCUUCCUAACGUUGUGAAGCCAGAUUCACCAAGUGUUCACCCCCUCAUAGCGAACGUGAGCUGGAUUCAGACCGUCGUCCGAUGACGCGUU